AAUUUAUGGCUCUGUGAACCUGGUCCACUCUCUCAGAGGGUGCGUUCCGGUGUGCACGGGUCAUUUUUCUGGAAAGCAUCUCUGCCCUUCAUUGGGUUGGUUAUGUAAUUCAGAUCAUUUACUGUGAGUAAAUCAGAGUGUUCAAAGCAGGCAGCAAUGCUUGAAUGGUUCAGCAUGGAAUAAUAAGAUAAGACUUCGGUUUUGUUUUGUUGGCUUGACGAACCAAAGUAAUGAUUGAAAGGGAUAGUUGGGGGUGCUAGUAUUCAGUGGUCAGCGGUGAAAUGCGAGGACCCAUUGAAGACUAACUUAUGCGAAAGCAUU
rnacentral:rRNA from 1 species